rnacentral:rRNA from 1 species
AGAGUUUGAUCCUGGCCCAGAAUGAACGCUGGCGGCAUGGAUUAGGCAUGCAAGUCGAACGUGAAGCUGGACUUCGGUCCGGUGGAAAGUGGCGCAAGGGUGAGUAACACGUGAGCAACCUGCCCCCGAGUUCGGGAUAGCCCCGGGAAACCGGGAUUAAUACCGAAUGUGGUUUUCACUCGCAUGGGUGAAGGACUAAAGUUUUUCGCUCGGGGAUGGGCUCGCGACCGAUUAGCUUGUUGGUAGGGUAACGGCCUACCAAGGCUAUGACAGGUAGCUGGUCUGAGAGGAUGGUCAGCCACACUGGGACUGAGACACUGCCCAGACUCCUACGGGAGGCUGCAGUCGAGAAUCAUCCGCAAUGGGCGAAAGCCUGACGGUGCGAUGCCGCGUGAGGGAUGACGGCCUUCGGGUUGUAAACCUCUGUCAGGAGGGACGAAGAAUGUGACGGUACCUCCAGAGGAAGCCGUGGCUAACUACGUGCCAGCAGCCGCGGUAAUACGUAGAUGGCGAGCGUUAUUCGGAUUCACUGGGCGUAAAGGGUUCGCAGGGGGUUUGCCAAGUCUGAUGUGAAAGCCCGAGGCUCAACUUCGGAACUGCAUUGGAUACUGGCGAACUAGAGUGCACGAGGGGUGAGCGGAAUUCCUGGUGUAGCGGUGGAAUGCGUAGAUAUCAGGAAGAACACCGAUGGCGAAGGCGGCUCACUGGCGUGCUACUGACCCUCAUGGACGAAAGCGUGGGGAGCGAACAGGAUUAGAUACCCUGGUAGUCCACGCUGUAAACGUUGUGCACUAGAUGUGGGCGGGUUCUGACCCGUCCGUGUCCCAGCUAACGCGAUAAGUGCACCGCCUGGGGACUACGGCCGCAAGGCUAAAACUCAAAGGAAUUGACGGGGGCCCGCACAAGCGGUGGAGCAUGUGGCUCAAUUCGAGGCAACGCGAAGAACCUUACCUGGGUUUGACAUAUACUGGACCGUCCUGGAAACAGGGCUUCCCUUCGGGGCCGGUAUACAGGUGCUGCAUGGCUGUCGUCAGCUCGUGUCGUGAGAUGUUCGGUUAAGUCCGGCAACGAGCGCAACCCGUGUCGUCAGUUGCUAACAGGUAAUGCUGAGGACUCUGGCGAGACUGCCCGUGUCAAGCGGGAGGAAGGCGCGGAUGACGUCAAGUCCGUAUGGCCCUUACGUCCAGGGCUGCACACGUGCUACAAUGGGCGGUACAAAGGGAUGCAAAAUCGCGAGGUGGAGCAAAUCCGUAAAAACCGUCCCCAGUUCGGAUUGGAGUCUGCAACUCGACUCCAUGAAGUCGGAAUCGCUAGUAAAGGGGUAUCAGCAACGGCCCCUUGAAUACGUUCCCGGGCCUUGUACACACCGCCCGUCACAUCAUGGAAGCUGGCUGCACCCGAAGUCCGUGACCUAAUCCACUUCGGUGGAGAGGAGCGGCCGAAGGUGUGUCCAGUGACUGGGAUGAAGUCGGA